GAGACAGCAGUCGCCGCGGUAAUACGUAGGUGGCAAGCGUUGUCCGGAAUUAUUGGGCGUAAAGGGCUCGCAGGCGGUUUCUUAAGUCUGAUGUGAAAGCCCCCGGCUCAACCGGGGAGGGUCAUUGGAAACUGGGAAACUUGAGUGCAGAAGAGGAGAGUGGAAUUCCACGUGUAGCGGUGAAAUGCGUAGAGAUGUGGAGGAACACCAGUGGCGAAGGCGACUCUCUGGUCUGUAACUGACGCUGAGGAGCGAAAGCGUGGGGAGCGAACAGGAUUAGAUACCCGUGUAGUCCCUGUCUCUUAUAC
rnacentral:rRNA from 1 species